UACGUAGGGGGCUAGCGUUGUCCGGAAUCAUUGGGCGUAAAGCGCGUGUAGGCGGUUCGGUAAGUCCGCUGUGAAAGUCGGGGGCUCAACCCUCGGAUGCCGGUGGAUACUGUCGGACUAGAGUACGGAAGAGGCGAGUGGAAUUCCUGGUGUAGCGGUGAAAUGCGUAGAGAUCGGAAAGAACACCAACGGCGAAAGCACUCUGCUGGGCCGACACUGACACUGAGAGACGAAAGCUAGGGGAGCGAAUGGG
rnacentral:rRNA from 1 species